UACGAAGGGGGCUAGCGUUGUUCGGAAUUACUGGGCGUAAAGCGCCCGUAGGCGGACAUUUAAGUCAGGGGUGAAAUCCCAGAGCUCAACUCUGGAACUGCCUUUGAUACUGGGUGUCUUGAGUAUGGAAGAGGUGAGUGGAAUUCCGAGUGUAGAGGUGAAAUUCGUAGAUAUUCGGAGGAACACCAGUGGCGAAGGCGGCUCACUGGUCCAUUACUGACGCUGAGGUGCGAAAGCGUGGGGAGCAAACAGG
rnacentral:rRNA from 1 species